GCGGGUUUCGAGGGUGGCGACCACCUCGGCGGCGUUCUGGGCGGUGCACACGUCCUGCGGCAGGUUCAGGCCCGCGGCCCGCAC
rnacentral:tRNA from 1 species